rnacentral:misc_RNA from 1 species
UUUGUGGAAAAAAACUUGGCGAGAGAAAUUGGCUUUUUGUUGAAAAAAGUUGUCCAAAACUUCAGAUUUGAUUAGCGUUUCUUGAAAAAUAUUUGUUUCUAAUAGUAAGUGAAAGGGACUUUGGAAAAAUUCGAAUUUUUGCUUACACUAUGAUGUCCAACUCGCCAAAACGCUUUCGCAAGCGCCUGUUGUCUCCGGCCGAGGACUUGGAAGAUGGCGAAAUAGCAGAGGUAUUAGAAGCCGUGAAAAUUCCUGAGGUUGAGCCUUUUAAUGAUGGCUACGAUGAUCAGUUCAUGGGCGAUGCGGAGGACCGCGCACGUCUUCAGGGCAUGAACGAACUGGAGAGGGAGAAGGAACUCUACCAGAGGAGCCUGCGACGCGAAGACAUGCAGCGCAAGUGGGACAUACGCUGCCAACUAGCUAAGGAGCGAGAACUAGCCGUUGGUGUUGAGGAGGAUGCUGGUAUGAAGGAGCGCUCCCUCAUCCGUCGUCACAUACUAGAUACCCAGCGUGCUGGGAAUAAAAGAGCGAAUGCCUUUGAACGCUUGAUGGCAAUUAGAAACAAUAAGAUAACCAGGGAGAAGUGGGCCGAGCCUGUUGUCGAUCAGCCGGAACAGUCUGUGCCGCUAAAGAAGAUUUCCAAAGUGAAGCUAAAGGCCACUGAUAUCUAUUCGGACGACUCGUCUAGUAGUCUGAGUGAUGCCAGGUCCAGGACGAUUGAGCCGAGCCCUGUCCUUAGUGCUAACAGCAGUGACCAGUCCGUGGUCACCAUCCGGGAGCAACUGAGCCGGGCCAUCUUGACCCGCGUUCAGCUGGAAAGCCUUCUGGACAAGCCUGUCUUUGAGAAGACGGUUGUCGAUUGCUUUGUACGUGUCAACAUCGGUUCCGAGGGUUCAGCCAACGCCAGCCGCAUCUACCAGAUAGUCGGUCUGCAGCAGGACAACAAGGACUACCAGCUGGGUGGCAAACGCACCAAUAUCGUCCUCCGUUUGCGCUACGGCGUCCAGGAGCGCCUUUCGUUAAUGGAUGUGGUGUCCAAUCAGCCAGUUACCAAGUACGAGUUUUAUAUGUGGAGUGGAACCUGGCAACGCGAUCUGAAGGCCUUGCCCCUGCUCUCCCAGAUAGCCAAGAAGCAGGAGGACAUCGCCAAUGCCAUGGAGUACUCCUACACGGAGGGUGAUGUGGAGAAGAUCAUCCAGUCCAAGCGCCAAGCCGCCCCGAAGCGUGUUACUUCGGCCUAUAAGAAAGUGUGUCUGAUCAUGGAACGUGACCAGGCUGUGGGUCUAAACGACAUGGAAAAGGUGAAACGCCUCGAAAAACAGAUCCAAGAGCUCGACGGCCCGUCUGGUGGUCAGUUGGAUAGCGCCAAAGAGCCUUCUCAUUCGCAGUCGCAGCCGCAGCUAGCCAGGAUUAGCGCCCACGUACCUCCCAUUUACUCUGCUCCACCCGCCUCCAAGAGAUGCCACGCCGAGCGACCUCCCAAAGCUGACGACUUCCAAUUAGAGCAGUAUAUGCGUCGUAAGUACAAGAAAAGCUCCGUAGUGAGCAGGAGUCGUGUGGAGGUCGAGGCGGAGGACUGGGGCGGGGAGCAGGAGGAGGAGGACGAUGAGGAGCCAAUGGUGCCCGAUCAUCAGCUAGCUGCGGCUGUGACUGCGAAACCAGAAGAGCUCAAGGACGUCCAGGAGGUGAUGCCAAAGGUGGAUCUGCACGUCUUGCACAAUUUCAAGGUGAACCUUAACACGUCAUCCUUAAUCCCCUUUAGUGCGAUCUUUAAAGAUCCCAAGUUUGGCAGUAAAUAACUAAAACGAAGUCUACAGGCGAGGUCUUUUUUAUUGUUCUUGAUUUGGAUGUUGAAUUUCAUGCUUAGAAAAUACUAAGACCAAGCCACCUUAUGCACUCUACCCGGCACAAUUUCUUACUUUUCGUGUCAUUCAUACACUUCGUAAUAGCACCUUAAGAAUGUCCUUAUAGGACACCCUUCUCCAUAAUUUCUUGUUUUUCACAUCACCCAACACUUCAAAAUGAAAGGACUUUGAGUUCAUUGAAACACUUGCUUUACAUAUUUGGAUUUUAAGCAUUCAUUUUUUAAGUUGGCUUGCAUUACUGUGAGCUCAGUCAAUUUGAUGUUUUUCAAUAAAAUAAGAUGGAUUUCUAUAACUUUCUUAGAAACCUCAAGGACUACAAUCUCGAA